GUGCCAGCCGUCGCGGUAAUACCGGCAGCCCGAGUGAUGGCCGAUAUUAUUGGGCCUAAAGCGUCCGUAGCUGGCCGCGCAAGUCCAUCGGAAAAUCCACCCGCCCAACGGGUGGGCGUCCGGUGGAAACUGUGUGGCUUGGGACCGGAAGGCGCGACGGGUACGUCCGGGGUAGGAGUGAAAUCCCGUAAUCCUGGACGGACCGCCGAUGGCGAAAGCAUUUCGAGAAAACGGAUCCGACAGUGAGGGACGAAAGCCAGGGUCUCCAACCGGAUUAGAAACCCGAGUAGUCC
rnacentral:rRNA from 1 species